GCUUUUAAUAACUUACACUACAUAAGAUUGGUUGGUUUAGCUACUUGUCUUAGAUACUUUAAUGGAGUUGAAAACUUAGAGCAUGUUUUCCGUGAUUACUCCAUUGUAAAGGAAAUAUGGCAGAUGUUAAAUACCAUUUGGCCCCAAGCAGUAUCCGAGUUAGAAUACAAGGAUUGGUUGGCAUAUAUUUUCUUGAAUAAUUCCAUUUACCAGUGUAGGAUAGUGGCUUGUGUAAUUUAGACUACAUGGACAGGUAGGAUUAAAGCAGUUCAUGAAGGAGAUAGAUAGACACCUUUCGACACAACCCACUUUAUCAUUACAUAUGUGCAGGAGUUAGAUGGAAUCAACCAGAAAUUACAUAUUCAAAGGGUGGAGACUGAACGAUGGAGGUUGUCGGAAAGUCCUUAUGUGAAUAUUUAUUUUGAUGUUACUUUUCAAAAUCAUUCCAAGAGGUCAUGACGGUAAUUGUGAUUAAAAUUCAAAUGGUGUAGUGUUGGGUUCCAGAAUGAUAAUGAAUGACCACAUAUUUUUGGCAUUCGCUGCGGGGGCUCUUGCAUGCUUUCAUGCGGUUUAGAUGGACCUGGUAUUGGGAUUUUUUGAGGAGAUUGAGGGGGACACGCUUACUAUAGUGAAAAAGCUUCAUGCAAUCAGGGAAGACAGAUACGAAUCAGUGCGUACAUAAGGAGCUCAAUAUCGCUCGGUGAAAGUUAUCAAAGUUGUUUUUUCAGACAUGCACCGAAACAGGGGAACAGAGUAGCACAUCUAUUAGCUAUAGAGGGCAUAAAGAGAGGAGUAUCGACUUAUCUGACACAAGGGAUGCCUUUUUCCGCUGCUAUUGCGGUGGAAAAAGAUUGGUGGUGGAUGGAUCUGCCAGAUUAGGUUAUACCGCUCGCCGAUUAUCUACAAGCAGUCUCUGAAAUUUGUUCAUCUUCAAGGGAUAAUAGUGAUUCAUAUAGGCUUAUCUCUUUUUUUUUUUUUUCAGAUGGUUUGAAAGUAGGUUUCAUGUCAUUUGUUUU
rnacentral:lncRNA from 1 species